AAAUUGAAGAGUUUGAUCAUGGCUCAGAUUGAACGCUGGCGGCAGGCCUAACACAUGCAAGUCGAACGGUAACAGGAAGCAGCUUGCUGCUUUGCUGACGAGUGGCGGACGGGUGAGUAAUGUCUGGGAAACUGCCUGAUGGAGGGGGAUAACUACUGGAAACGGUGGCUAAUACCGCAUAACGUCGCAAGACCAAAGAGGGGGGCCUUCGGGCCUCUUGCCAUCAGAUGUGCCCAGAUGGGAUUAGCU
rnacentral:rRNA from 1 species